UAUAUCCAGCAUGUGGGUAGAUAUUCUAGCUAAUAAUGGAUAAAAUCAUUUGAAAUACCGAACUUAAAAAUGCAAGAUUUUGUGUCCAUUGAUUCAAAUGUAUUUCUUGCAAUCAUAGUACUGAUUAUAUCAUAUCCAAUGCACGAAAAAAGAAAUGUAUAUGUUGGGCCCGUUCUUGCAUUGGUCGACCAAAUUGAGGGAUAAAUUGGUAAAUUUUUCACUUGGGUCAUAGAUACAUCUUUGCAUCAUCGGUAUCUUUCCCUUUGAAGUUUGAAUCAAUGUCUCUCUCUUUUAAGAAGCACUCCCUCAAUCUCUCUCUCUACACAUACCUAAAUCCUAAGGUACUUCUUUUCUUUUUCAUUGUUUGUUAUGUUUUUUUUCUGCUUUUCUUCUCUAUCUCUGUUUCACAAGAUAUAUAUCUAGGUUAUAGUUUCCAAGGUACUUUCCCCCCCUUUAAUUUUGGGUUAAUUUUUAUAAAACUAUCAAAAAAAAUAUCUUUCUGAUGUGGAAGAUGACACUUCACAAAAACAACUUGAAUUAUAGAUUCUCCGCUGUAACAAUUCCCGGAAUAGAUGCCCCAAUUCGUUUUAAUCAUUUGGAUACCUAAGCCAAUCAGAUAAUUAGAAAGCGAAACAAUGCAGACAAAGAAGAUAAAUUUGGCUAAAAUUGAUUGCACUAAAGGAGCCAAUCUUUCAUAUAUCGUGACAAAGUAACAAAAAAUAUCGAAGUAGACUCUGCACAUAUGGUAUUUGAUGAUAUGCCUUGUCCAUAUUAUGUUAUUGUGUGCUUAGUGAUUGCGUUGAGCAUUUGCUUUCACUAUUCUGUUUCUCUUUUGACGAAGUUAUUCUUUUUUUAUGAGGUUCUUUAUUUACGCUUUUCUAAGUGGAAUCUAAAUAAUGAUGAACUUUUUUUAUUGAAAUAUUUUCUAUAUUUACUUUUCAUCGUUAUUGUUGUCUUUGAGACAAAUAUUUUCAUGUUAGUGAUUUAAAAUUUCUUCGGUCUCUUUGAAAGUGUACGUGGAAGGUGAUGCCUCCACUAAUAUCUACCUCUUAACUGAUGUUUGAUAGGAUGGAACAAGAGAAAGCUCCAAGGAAGACACCAAACCCAGCCUAUGGUCGUUUGUUCACAUAAACGUAACAAAAUUAUAAAGAGGAAGUUGGAAACAUGAGCGUCAAAGAGAGGUAACCGACAAAAAGAUACUCUUUCAAGUAAGUCACGAUGAACUUUUAAAACAAUUCUUUGUUCGUGAAAGCAAAAAUGGUAUUCUGUUACUGUUGCCAUUUAGUAAUUGUGAUGGUGUGUUAAUGUGAAGCCUUUUUCCCCGUUGUUAGAUUGUGAUGGUCCUAUUGAAGUUUAGGUACAUAGUAUAAGAUUUAUUCAACAAUCUCCCAUUGCACAACAGGAAAUCCUAAGAAGAAAGUUAAGAAAAGCAAAGGCCGUGGCUUCGGCCAUCCUCGCUUCAGCCAAUCGUCAAAACAAAGCCAAGUUGAUUGCAUAUUUAAAUGAAAUGAAAGAAGUGAAAGUUAGGAUGUUUGUGGUGUUGAAUUAUAAUGUUUAAGGUUAAUUUGAUGGACCGGCGUUUUAGGAUAUCCAUAUGGAGAACAUCAAUUUGUCUUCGAUGGUUCUGUGACACUUUCAUCUGGAAGGCACUAUGCAUGUCAAGUUUGAUGCUCUCUUUGUAUUUUAAAAAGGGACUCAUUCAUUUCUUUAUAGGAUGUUGCAUAUGUAUACCUUUUUAAUGCCUGGUACUCUAUAAUUACAGUAUCUCAUGGAUUGUGGAUUCUUUUCUUCUAAUACAUUUUGAUGUGUUAUCUAAGUGAACUUCAUUAAUCCAAAUCAAACACAUCUAACAUCAAUACCGUGCACUUAGCAUUACUCAUAUACACCGAAUGAUGUUUUUUCCCUUUUCUUCUUAUGUAGCACUUACAUUGUAGGUAGUAUUGUUGCCUAUAUUGCAACAUAUGCAGAUACAUGUAGGUAGUAAUAUCGCCUAUAUUGAUCAGUAUUGUUAUUAACUUAUUCAUCUGAGUACCAACUUGGUUUUGGCAAACUUACUUAUUCAGAAUCUUCAUGAAGAAGGAGAAAUCCGGAGAAUUACUUGCUAGAGAUAUUGCCUAUAUUUGUUAUGUACGAACAAAUGAAGGGCUACAUGGAUUGAUGGAGAAUAGAUUUCCAAACUAGCAAUAUGGUAGUAGUAUAGGAGUAUCUCAGUGAAAUAGAGGUAGGAAUUAUGUACAUGGGGCUGAGUUGUAUAGCCUAGCUUUGUCAAUACGAUACUUGGUAAUUAAUGAAAAUGAUAGUUACCAAAAAAAAAACUUACUAAUUUUUCAUGUUUAUGUGCGGCUCUUACCAUGAUCAUAAACAGAAGUAUGAAUAAUCUAACCAUACUUUUUAUUUUGUUGAGAAUGAACACUUACCAUCAAUAUUUAUUUAUCAAAUAAUAACCUUCUAUAGUAUUUAACAAGAAGCAUGGUUACACUGAAAACAUAUAGUACUACUCACUAUAAAACUAUUUAUGUGCAGCUGUUGCCUUGGUCGUGAAUAGAAGUAUGAACAAUUUGACCGUACUUUUUCUUUUGUGUAGAAAUAAUACUUUAUCAUCAAUAUUUGUAUAUCGAAUAAGAACCUUCUAUAACAUUUAACUGGGGUAUGGUUACAAUGACAACGUAUGGUACUACUCAGUACUCACUAUAAAACUACUUAUGUGCAGCUCUUGCAUUACUGUGAAUAGAAGUAUGAACAAUCUGUGCGUACUUUUUCUUUUGUUGAGAGAGCAUCAAUAUUUGUGCAUCAAAUAAGAAGGUUCUAUGACAUUUAACAGAGACAUGGAUACACUGACAAUAUAUAGUAAUACUCACUAAAACUACGUUUCUACUAAGCUUAUCUAUCUAUGUAAACUAAGUUACUGGAUAACUGAUGAAGACAUUUUGUGCAUUGCUGAUAAAAUGUUGCAGAUUUUAUGCGAUUCCUCUUCCUACAACAGAAUUUAACAGAAUGAUCAGGAAAAAGGAUAAUGAUGGCAACUACUUUGUCAGCUCUUGCUAUAAGCUUUUAACCUUAAGCCCUCCUUCACAUAACUGGCAAUUGAACUUAUAUGGAAAUGUAUAUAGGCUCCUUACUUCUAGCCCUCCUCUCCAUAGUUAUUGAUUUUAUUUGAACAACAUUGCACAAUUAUUGUCUGACAAAAAGUUAUACCUUGUGUAAUAGAUUUUAACUUUACUCCAGUAACUCAGAAGACAUAAGUUUUUCUUUGCAUUGUCCCAUAGCUACUCAACAAUGCAAGUAUUUUAUCUAUGUUUGUAGUUAAAUGGAAUCACGCCUGGUGAUCCAAGAGGUGCUACCGGCAGCUUUUGAAACGAAGAUAGGAACACAAGGACGUUCGAACGCAGUACCUGCUUGAAUACUAUGGGCAAGCUAAAAGAAACAAACUACUGAUGUUCUGAAGUUGCAAUAUACACACGAGAAUGCAAAUACAGAUUUGAAGAUGCAUCGACGAUAUACACACAAGAAGGCAAAUGUCUGCACCUGUUAACUUUUUGACUAACUUACAAGAUGUAUAUAACUUACUACAUAACAUUUGGUGUUAAUUAAUAAAGUAGAUCACGUAUUCUAGGAUUCUGUUGUUGAAGUGUUGGUCGUUGGGCCCGUGCUCUGCACGGGCAACCAACAUCUAGUCAGUAAUAUAAAACUUGGCAGUUGGUCAAGGAAUAUAUGUAACAACAACAACAACAACAACAACAACAACCCAGUAUAAUCCCACACGUGGGGUCUGGGGAGGGUAAUAUGUACCCAGAAUAUAUGUAAUUGUAGCAAAAUUGGAAAAGAAAAUUUUUCACAAGUCCCACUCUUUUUUUAAAAAAAAAGAGGAAGGAAAUUUGCACGGCGUGUACCCACCACUUCUGACAUGAACACCAUGGUUUUUUAAAUUUUAAAGCCUGAAAAUCUUAUUUAGGA
rnacentral:lncRNA from 1 species